rnacentral:rRNA from 1 species
UACGUAGGGGGCUAGCGUUGUCCGGAAUCAUUGGGCGUAAAGCGCGUGUAGGCGGUCCGGUAAGUCCGCUGUGAAAGUCGGGGGCUCAACCCUCGGAUGCCGGUGGAUACUGGCGGGCUUGAGUACGGAAGAGGCGAGUGGAAUUCCUGGUGUAGCGGUGAAAUGCGCAGAUAUCAGGAGGAACACCAAUUGCGAAGGCAGCUCGCUGGGACGUUACUGACGCUGAGACGCGAAAGCGUGGGGAGCAAGCAGG